rnacentral:rRNA from 1 species
UACGGAGGGAGCUAGCGUUGUUCGGAAUACUGGGCGUAAAGCGUGCGCAGGCGGUUUUGUAAGCCAGAUGUGAAAGCCCCGGGCUCAACCCUGGGAAUGGCAUUUGGGGACUGCAAGGCUGGAGUUUGGCAGAGGAGACUGGAAUUCCUGGUGUAGCAGUGAAAUGCGUAGAUAUCAGGAGGAAUACCGAUGGCGAAGGCAGGUCUCUGGGCUAUAACUGACGCUCAUGCACGAAAGCGUGGGAGCA